rnacentral:lncRNA from 1 species
GGGAAUAUGAUAGGGGUAAAAACAAAUAGGACACGAAACACUGGAUUUGACGUGACACCGCCCGACGCCAGCCACCCCUGGACGGCACACUGCCCCAAGGGACGAGCAUUAACACCAACGUAACGUGCACCCUCGCUCACGGUACCCCGACGACCUCAUCAUCUGACCCCGCACGAUCGGACGAGGCAGGGCAGGGCGUCGACCAAGGCUCGCCAUACCCUGCGGCGACCCGCCCUUCCACGCAAGGCCCACGACGACAACGGGCGCGAUCAGGUGCACGACCCUGCCGCGGCAGGAUGGCGCAUCAGGUAA